CGAACGCGGCGGCAGGCUACCCAUGCUGACGAGCGCGCCUUCGGGCGACGCGGCGGACGGGUUAGUAACGCGUGGGAACGUGCCCAGAUCUACGGAAUAGCCACUGGAAACGGUGAGUAAUACCGUAUACGCCCUUCGGGGGAAAGAUUUAUCGGAUUUGGAUCGGCCCGCGUUAGAUUAGGUAGUUGGUGGGGUAACGGCCUACCAAGCCUACGAUCUAUAGCUGGUUUUAGAGGAUGAUCAGCAACACUGGGACUGAGACACGGCCCAGACUCCUACGGGAGGCAGCAGUGGGGAAUCUUGGACAAUGGGGGCAACCCUGAUCCAGCCAUGCCGCGUGAGUGAAGAAGGCCCUAGGGUCGUAAAACUCUUUCGCCUGUGAUGAUAAUGACAGUAGCAGGUAAAGAAACCCCGGCUAACUCCGUGCCAGCAGCCGCGGUAAUACGGAGGGGGUUAGCGUUGUUCGGAAUUACUGGGCGUAAAGCGCGCGUAGGCGGAUUAGAAAGUUGGGGGUGAAAUCCCGAGGCUCAACCUCGGAACUGCCUCCAAAACUGCUAGUCUAGAGUUCGAGAGAGGUGAGUGGAAUC
rnacentral:rRNA from 1 species